GGGUGAGGGAGAGGGAGAGGGAAAGGUAGAGAGAGAUGUGUGACAGAGUUUCUCUGUAUAUCCCUGGCUAACCUGGAACACUCUAUGAAGAUUAGGCUGUCCUCGAACUCAUAGAGAUCAGCCUGCCUCUGCCUGCUGAGUGCUGGGAUUAAAGGCAUGCACCACAACCACCUAGAGAAAUUUCUUAUGAAUCAUUUAUGCCUUCCUGCAGACAUGCCACUUCUUUAAUUUUCCAGGUAGCAUACUACCAUUCCCACGUUCAGGCAGAUAUCAUCUUGUUGCAUACUAUCCUUACAAAUUGGAGGUUCUGACACAUAAAGAAGCCAAAGGUCAUUUUAAGAUACUUGAAACAUCUUUCUCAGGAACAAGAUAAUCAAAGGUUUUUGUCCAGUGUCUAUUCUUUGAUGAACACCAAGAAUUCAGCCUUUUGUAAAGAAUUGCCACAUACUUGAAAACUGUACGGUUUCUCGCACGUAUGUAUUCUUUGAUGAAAUUUAAAAUUUGAGCAUAUGAUAAAGGACUUUCGACAUUCUUUACACAUAACAUUUCUCUCCUUUAUGUAAUCUUUGAUGAGCUUGAAGUUUUGAGUCUUUGUUAAAGGAUUUGCCACAUUAUUUACAAUUGUAAGUUUUCUCUCCAGUGUGUUCCUUGAUGAACUUUAAGUGUUAAGGAUGUAGUAAAGCACUUUCCACAUUCUUUACAUUUAUAUAGUUUAUCUCCAGUAUGUAUUCUCUGAUGAUCAUGAAGUUUUGAGCCUGUCAGAAAGGACUUUCCACAUUCAUUACAAUUAUAAGGUUUCUCUCCAGUAUGUAUUCUUUGAUGAACUUGAAGAUUUGAGCAUUGUGUAAAAGACUUUCCACAUUCUUUACAUUUAUAUGGUUUCUCUCCAGUAUGUAUUCUUUGAUGAACUUUAAGAUCUGAACCAUUGGUAAAGCACUUCCCACAUUCUAUACAUUUAUAUGGUUUCUCUCCAGUAUGUAUUCUUUGAUGAACUUUAAGAGUUGAGCCUAUUGUAAAGGACUUUCCACAUUCUUUACAUUUAUAUGUUUUUUCUCCAUCAUGUAUUCUUUGAUGAGAAUGAAGGCUUGAGCCUGUCAUAAAGGACUUUCCACAGUCAUUACAUUUAUAAGGUUUCUCUCCAGUAUGUAUUCUUUGAUGAACUUGAAGUGUUGAGCCUUGUGUAAAAGGCUUUCCACAUUCUUUACAUUUAUAUGGUUUCUCUCCAGUAUGUAUUCUUUCAUGAACUUUAAGAUCUGAGGCUUUCAUAAAGGGCUUUCCACAUUUAUUACAUUUAUAUUGUUUCAUCCCAGUAUCUAUUCUUUGAUGAACUUUGAGAUCUGAGCCAUUGGUGAAGGACUUCCCACAUUCUUUAUAUCGGUAAAGUUUCAUUCCAAUACAUAUUCUUUGAUGAACUUUAAGAGUUGAGCCUUUCAUAUAUUCUUUGUCUAAUAUUUCUUCCUGAGGGGUAUCCUGUGUACACUCUUUUGGAAACAACUCCUGAACUGGAUAACAAAACAAACCUGGAAGAAAUGAAAGAAGUUAUUUAUAUGACUGUCUGGAAUUAGGCAAAAUAAUAUUGAAACUUAUAAAUAAAAGGACUCCAAUGUGUACUGUAACAAAUAGAUUAAUCACAUAAGAUGUUCUAUUUGCUUAGAAAUUGUAUUGUUAAUUUAGAUCAAUAACAUCUUUCAAAGCACAUUAUAUAGUGUUAGAAAUGAAAAAUCAUAUAUAGACUUCCUAUGAUUAAUUAUAAUUAAUACAUAUUAAUACAUAGUCAUUGAAAGAGAGAGUUUAUUAAAAAGAAAGCAAUAAAAUGAUCAUUAAAAACAAAUAUGGCCGUAAGUAAUCCAGUGUUCAAACAAGAAAAACAUGAAGUAUGCCAUAUCAUGAAAUUGUGUUUAAUGUAAUAUGAAAUGUUUAAAUGGAACCUCUUUAAACGUGUCAUGUAACCAGAAACUAUUAACACAAUUUUUAGAAAACAAAGCAAAUUAUUAUCCAUUUUUAAAAAUGUUCUAUUUACCUCAAAUUUUCAAAAUUAAUUUAGAUUAAUUACACAUUUCAAAACAAAUGAAUUAUAAAUUUUAGAAGUGAAAAAAAAUUAGACUUCAAGCUGUAAUUAAUCAAAAGAGAUGUAGAAGGUCAUCCCAUAUUCAUCACAGGAAAUAUGCAUCAAUAUAAAG
ensembl:lncRNA